UCCUGGCUCAGCCUGAACGCUGGCGGCAUGGCUAAAACAUGCAAGUCGUGGGAGAAGCACCUUCGGGUGUGGACACCGGCGAAAGGGCGAGUAACGCGAUCGAACGUACCCCGAGGUGGGGGAUAGCGUCGGGAAACCGGCGGUAAUACCCCAUGUGCUCUACUGAGGAAAGCUCCGGCGCCUUGGGAGCGGCGAUCGUCCUAUCAGGUUGUUGGUGAGGUAACGGCUCACCAAGCCGAAGACGGGUAGCGGGUGUGAGAGCAUGACCCGCCGCAUCGGGACUGAGACACUGCCCGGACUCCUACGGGAGGCUGCAGUAACGAAUCUUCCGCAAUGCACGCAAGUGUGACGGAGCAAUGCCGCGUGUGGGAUGAAGCGGUUCCGCCGUGUAAACCACUGUCAGGGUCUAGGAAGAACUGACCAGACCCAGAGGAAGGGCCGGCUAAUCUCGUGCCAGCAGCCGCGGUAAGACGAGAGGCCCAAGCGUUAGGCGGAUUCACUGGGCUUAAAGGGUGCGUAGGCGGAUUGGCAAGCAUCUCGUGAAAUCCCUCGGCUCAACCGAGGAAUUGCGGGGUGAACUGCCUGUCUUGAGGAAGGCAGAGGCUGUCGGAACGUUCGGUGGAGCGGUGAAAUGCGUAGAUAUCGAACGGAACGCCGAAGGGGUAGCCAGGCAGCUGGGCCUUACCUGACGCUGAGGCACGAAAGCGUGGGGAUCAAACAGGAUUAGAUACCCUGGUAGUCCACGCCGUAAACGAUGUGCACUAGCUCGAUGCAGAUCUGACUCUGUGUCGGGCGCCGAGAAAUCAUUAAGUGCACCGCCUGGGGAGUACGGUCGCAAGGCUAAAACUCAAAGGAAUUGACGGGGGCUCACACAAGCGGUGGAGCAUGUUGCUUAAUUCGAAGCAACGCGAAGAACCUUACCUGGGUUUGACAUGCAC
rnacentral:rRNA from 1 species